rnacentral:lncRNA from 1 species
CUGGGUUGUCCUGGGUCACGAAUUCGGUUUUCUCAGGAGCCACGCAAAGACACAGAGCAGGUGACUGUAAAUGAAGUGCAACACAUGAAUGUAUUCCCCCUGAGAAAUGCAAUGAACUAUUUUUCCAUCGAUUGCAGUAAGAUUUCAUCAUACAGUGAAAUCAUUCUUCUGAUUCUUUCCAGCUCAAGGAAGAGACAUGGAUUAAACCAAUGGGAAGUGAGGAAAGCAGAGGAGCAAAGAC